rnacentral:rRNA from 1 species
GAUGAACGCUGGCGGCGUGCCUAAUACAUGCAAGUCGAGCGAACAGACGAGGAGCUUGCUCCUCUGACGUUAGCGGCGGACGGGUGAGUAACACGUGGAUAACCUACCUAUAAGACUGGGAUAACUUCUGGAAACCGGAGCUAAUACCGGAUAAUAUAUUGAACCGCAUGGUUCAAUAGUGAAAGACGGUUUUGCUGUCACUUAUAUAUGGAUCCGCGCCGCAUUAGCUAGUUGGUAAGGUAACGGCUUACCAAGGCAACGAUGCGUAGCCGACCUGAGAGGGUGAUAGGCCACACUGGAACUGAGACACGGUCCAGACUCCUACGGGAGGCAGCAGUAGGGAAUCUUCCGCAAUGGGCGAAAGCCUGACGGAGCAACGCCGCGUGAGUGAUGAAGGUCUUCGGAUCGUAAAACUCUGUUAUUAGGGAAGAACAAAUGUGUAAGUAACUAUGCACGUCUUGACGGUACCUAAUCAGAAAGCCACGGCUAACUACGUG